ACGGGUGAGUAAUGUCUGGGAAACUGCCUGAUGGAGGGGGAUAACUACUGGGAACGGUAGCUAAUACCGCAUGACGUCUUCGGACCAAAGUGGGGGACCUUCGGGCCUCACGUCAUCAGAUGUGCCCAGAUGGGAUUAGCUAGUAGGUGGGGUAAUGGCUCACCUAGGCGACGAUCCCUAGCUGGUCUGAGAGGAUGACCAGCCACACUGGAACUGAGACACGGUCCAGACUCCUACGGGAGGCAGCAGUGGGGAAUAUUGCACAAUGGGCGCAAGCCUGAUGCAGCCAUGCCGCGUGUAUGAAGAAGGCCUUCGGGUUGUAAAGUACUUUCAGCGAGGAGGAAGGCAUUGUGGUUAAUAACCACAGUGAUUGACGUUACUCGCAGAAGAAGCACCGGCUAACUCCGUGCCAGCAGCCGCGGUAAUACGGAGGGUGCAAGCGUUAAUCGGAAUUACUGGGCGUAAAGCGCACGCAGGCGGUUGAUUAAGUCAGAUGUGAAAUCCCCGAGCUUAACUUGGGAACUGCAUUUGAAACUGGUCAGCUAGAGUCUUGUAGAGGGGGGUAGAAUUCCAGGUGU
rnacentral:rRNA from 1 species